rnacentral:rRNA from 1 species
GGGCGUAGCCUGAUGCAGCGACGCCGCGUGAAGGGAUGACGGCCUUCGGGUUGUAAACCUCUUUCACUAGGGACGAAGCGUGAGUGACGGUACCUAGAGAAGAAGCACCGGCCAACUACGUGCCAGCAGCCGCGGUAAUACGUAGGGUGCGAGCGUUGUCCGGAAUUACUGGGCGUAAAGAGCUCGUAGGUGGUUUGUCGCGUUGUCCGUGAAAACUCACAACUCAAUUGUGGGCGUGCGGGCGAUACGGGCAGACUGGAGUACUGCAGGGGAGACUGGAAUUCCUGGUGUAGCGGUGGAAUGCGCAGAUAUCAGGAGGAACACCGGUGGCGAAGGCGGGUCUCUGGGCAGUAACUGACGCUGAGGAGCGAAAGCGUGGGGAGCGAACAGGAUUAGAUACCCUGGUAGUCCACGCCGUAAACGGUGGGUACUAGGUGUGGGUUUCCUUCCUUGGGAUCCGUGCCGUAGCUAACGCAUUAAGUACCCCGCCUGGGGAGUACGGCCGCAAG